CGCAAGCCAAUAAGUAUUUCCCU
rnacentral:snRNA from 1 species